rnacentral:tRNA from 1 species
GGGCGUGUAGCUCAGCUCGGUAGAGCACAACGUUCGCAACGUUGGGGCCUCGGGUUCAAAUAUUGGCACAUCAAUAAACAGGUGCUAGUGAGAAAGUCCCGACACGUCCA